UUUUUUUUGUUUUUGUUUUUUGCUAUUUGUACUGCGCUUUGUUUUGUGCGCUUUGAAGAUGGUUUGUCUCUUUUUUCUUUUUCUUACUUCUUACUUACUUCUUCUCGGUACCGUUGGUUGGUUGGAAUUGUAUUGUUUUCAUUUCGAUUCGUUUCGUUUUUACUCUACUUCUUCUUUAGUUUCAACGAUCGUAGUUCGAUUUAAAUUCAUUUUCAUCAUUCAGAGCCGCAGCGAUUUCUUUUUAAUUAAGAGCCACUUUUCAAUAAUAUGUUUAUGGUAUUAAAGACGCGCACAGUGGUAAUAAUAAAUCGCGCAAGAGAUAUAUAAAAGAGUUCGAAAGAGCGAGAGGGAGUUAACACGAGACAGACAGACAGACAGAAAGGGUGGGAUGAAUCUGCACGGCUACUGCGAUGCUGUCAUUAGGUUGUUUAAGCAUCAGCGGGUUUAUAGUUUCCCUCGGUUUUUGCCCACCCGCGCGCGCGUGAUAAUCAAUUAGUUUGCCCGCCAAUGGCAAGAGAGUAACGAAACAUUGUAAUACCUGCCAGUGGCCAACAGAGAGAUACACACACACACACCGACUGUACACAAUAUUGUGAAACGAAGCAACAACUAAGCAACGAAAAAUAACAGCACCUCGAUGAAUGAUUGAAACACUUUAUGGAAACCCCGUUUUUACCUAACCCUCCAAAACCAAUCCAAACCAAUCCAACCAUUCGCGAUGAUGAUAUUUUUGGCACACGAUGGACAUCCCAUGGACCGAUAUGCCGAUACAAGCACGAACGACUGUACUACGACAGAUCCCUCAGGCCUACCGGGGGAGAGCAUAUUUUGUCCCAAACAACUUCGGUUCGGAGGAAAAAUCAACGAACAUGCUGUACUGUCAUCUUCAUCGCUGCACAGCCCUCCCUGCCGGGAUUGACGAAAUGAUACCACUUUCUAAAGUGGUUGAAAGAGGAAAAUAAAACAUGCAAGCACUCAACACACACACACAACCCUCAUAAUGAUGAUUAUGAUGAUGAUGAUGGUCACGAUCGCGCUGACGAUCGCGCUUCAACCUGCCUGCACGCAAUAAAGAAAAAGGAUUGAAAAAUCCAUCGACAGCUCGGAAACACUUUGCACCGUGGAGAGGAUCGUGCGCGAACCGUAAAGUUUUCCACUGCCAAAAAAUAACUGGCCACCGGGGAAAAUGCGCCAAAAAGAUGAUUUUGGAACCCCUGUCCCCCCGCUCGGGUACGAGGCGGUAAGGUAAGAGAGGAAAGGGUCAACCCGGGGACCCGGGUUUAUCGUGUGGGGUUGAACCACCGGAUCAUCCAUCGUUAGGGGUCAUCGUCGUUGCGCUCGGCAAACACGGCCCCGGUGCAUCAUUAUCAGCAGCAGCAUGUCCGUUUCUUUCCACGAUCAUUCUUUCCUCCACCGCUUUUUAUUAUAUUUGGCACAGGCAGAGUGCGUCGGGGAAUAAAAGGAAAAGCCAUCCACUGAAGAAGAGCCGAUUUUUGGGCCGCUGAAGCUGAAGCUGAAUCGAGCUGUACUUGAUGGCACUGUACUAAUGGAACCUGUGCAGGUCGUGAAACCCUAAGAGCAAUCGGCCAUUGAGAGAGCCUUCUCGUUGCUGCAGUUCACCCGUUGGUUGGAUUGGAAGAUUCAAUUAGGCAGCUCCUCCUGCACGUAAUGUAACGCGUUUAGGUCGACGCCACUGUCCUCGAAGAGCGGAGCGUGUCCCGUGGGAGCUGGCCUUUGAACACAGAAAACGUUUCCGAGGCGACGGCGGCGAGAGUCUGCUAAUUGUUGGGGUUUGUUAAAAGCUUUUGAAUUGUGAGUGAGUGAGAGAGUGAGUGGAAAAUUUAAAACAAUCACGUUUAAACAGUCGAGGCUGAUGGAGGAAGGCAAUACUAAAAAAAGACGCCCAGAACGCCAGGAUAAAUGCAUGCAUCAGAUGGCCAUGCCGUUUCCCGUGACGUUUAUUUGUGUAGCUGAAUUUAAAAUUCAAAUCGCAAUGCAUAAAUUCAGGCGCACAAAAAAGCGGAUCGAUAAACUAAAAGGCAAGGGAAAAUAUCGAUCGAUCGAUCGGUUUGCAGGCUGGUUUUUUUUCAAUUCCAAUUCGAUUUCCAUUGGUGCAAAUGUGCAAACCCAAAAUUCGAAUGUUGAAACGAUUUGUCGUCGUAUCGGACAUCGAGCUCACCUGAUGCUAAUGAGGCCACAGGCCGUACAAGCCUUACAAGCCUGUCCUAAGAGGGUUGAGACGCAUCUAACCAGGGACAUUAACUAAGGCGUAGGAAAUGGAAAUAUUGGUCCAAAGCUUUGGAACAUCAGACACACAAAAAAGCAAAACUAGGCAAUCGUUUUGAGACACCAAACUGAAUACGCUUAUCAUGUUUUAAAAACGAAUGUUUGAGGCUGUUUUUUUGUCUCUCCAUACAGCAUACAUACGCGGCGAAUGAUCUCAUCUCAUUGGUAUGUAAUUAAAUUUUUGGGGCUCGAGCUCGACCAUCGGCUUUAAUUAUACGGUGCACCGGUCGUGCAGGAAGCGUGAUUUAUUGCUGUCAUCCACCGGCCACCGGUCAGUGGCCAAUUUAUGCUUGCGCAAAACUGAGGCCAACACGUAAUCACGUCCGUUAGGGAAUGAAAAAUUAGAAAAUCUGCCCAACCAAGAAUUGACCGGCUUGGACUGGUGGACUGCUUGGUGGAGGAUUCGUUGAACCUUUUUUUUUGUAUUUAAAGCUGAGAGAAGAGGCCAGGGCGGUUUGGGUGGUAGGAAGCAGUUGUAAUAAAAUUAUAAUUCCUACCAAAACGCGAACGCAUUUUUGGUGCGCUCGCGCGUACGAUCGCGCGAUCACUGUUCUGCGUGCAAUGCGCGGCAGAGCAAAAUGCGCGCAAAAAGAGGCGAAAAAGCAGUUGAUGGGUAGGCGAAGCCAAGGGGAGUGGAUGAGUAAGAAGGAAGGAGGAAGUAUCAUAUUCACACGCACGCGGCGGCGAGAGAGGACCAGCAGGCCACGUGGGCUAUGAUGAAACAUAAAAAUUUCACCGGCCUUAUUGUUAUUGCUCAUUAGGAAUUAAUUUAUGUGUCGCUUCUGGAUUUUUGGUCGAUCGUGUGAUCAACAUGAACCGGAGAGAAGAUAGCAAGAGAAGAAAGAGCGGAAAGGGGGAAAGGGAAGAGAAAAUGAAGAGCAGUUCAAGAUAUUUGGCCACGGUAGAAUGAGCUGCACUGUUUUUAGACGUUUCUAAUCGUCUGAUAAUGUAAAUAGGCGCCAAAGGUAAAUGGUCGUGUUGAUCGAAUGUCCGCCUGAUAGGUCUUUGCUGGAUCGCUGAAUACGAUUGCAAGUAAGCGAUCGCAUCGAAACAGGCCUGACAGUAGGCGCCAAAGGGUGCUAAUACACGCGUCACGUUUGGUUAACAAAACAGCACUUUGUAGUGGGAUAACGGAAGCAGCCGUCGGAAGUAGAAAGGAAGAAACCAUUUCCUCGCAUACGCGUGUGAUGUUUUCAUUUUGCUCCUAUUAAUUAUUUAAUAAAUCGUCAAUUAAACCGCGAAACACUUUAAACCGGGCCUAUAGGCUUCGUGAAACUUUACCGUCCCGUGGUGAUCACUCUUUCACUCUCUCUCUCUGCCUGUCUCUUGCGUCCUCUUUGGUUGGAUAAGGAUGGUCUUAAAACGAAAACCAUUAGUUUUAUUGUCCCUUGUAGCUGCUUGGUUGUGUUUUUUUGGCAAACACACACACUGCUGCCGUUGUGAUCUUUAUUCAACAAGGGAUCGCUCGCGAAUUGAACUCGGUACGGUCCAGUGCGUCCAGUACCCCGGGGUCGUUGUUGCUGGUAGGUGCUGAACAAUAUCGGUACACCCUGCUCGAGAGGGUAAUUAUGAUAGCUUUUUCUGGUGAAUAAUCACCACACUCGAUGAAUAUGGUGUGCUGCUCCAUGUACUGUUCCGUGCCCCGUGGAACUAAUAAUUCACCGUGAUUUAUGUGGAAUCUUUCGGGCAGGGUUGGGUUGGGUUGUAAAACAAGUGCGCUGUGUUGCCUCCGAGUCCAUCAAACCGGGACAGCCAGCCUUGCUUACGAAAUGAUCUUCCUCUCUAUGGAAGGAAAGUUUCGUGAGUGAGGAAUCCUUCCCAAAGUCUGCGGAAGGAGGACACACGCCGUUUCUCCCCUGUGCUGCACAUUAACACCCCCUUUGCAUUAAGCGCACCUUGUUUGAGAGCGAUGUGCGGCUGUAGUUCGUGCGGUGCUUCGUGUUACCAUAGAAACGCCACAUCGAAUGUGAUCUUGCACUGUAACUUUUGGGGGGCACCACCACUGAUCGUUAAGAUAAUUAAUAUUAAUGCAGCAGCCCCCGAGGAGGAGGAGGAGGUACAUUUCUUUUCUGAAAUUUCUGUUGUUUUUUUGUGUAUUAAAAUUCGAUCGAGGCUGCAUAAUAAAACAAUAAAAACAUAUUUUUCUGCUCUCCCGUUGCUCACGAUCGGUCCCCACAGUAGGCAAGCUUCGUCCAAAUGCUUCCCAACAGCUUGUAGCAAAAUUAGAAACGGUGCUCAUGAGUCCGGUACUUAUUCUAAUGUGUUAGCUUGUUACAUUUUAACGUAACCUCUUAGCUCGCCCCAGCUCGCCCGCCUAAGUGUUUGUGAACGGUUGCGUUAAUUAAUAGAAAUAGACACGUACACACACACCGCAUGGCAGAAUCACUUGGGCUCUCGCCUGGUCGAGCUGGAUAUUCAUAAAUUCCAAAACUGAUGAUCGUAAAACUUAUUACAUCACUUUGCGCUGUCCGGGACCGGGGUUCGCUGCUCCCUUGUCCUGAUCCAUGACCCAUUACUGUCUGAGUGUGUGAGAGAGAGAGCAAAAGGGAACAACGGUUGCCAGUGGCGCUCGUCCACUGACUGACAAGUGGUAAUUCAUUGCUCAACACCUCAUCCCCAUCGCGGGAAAAGCCAUCACGAAAUGGAAAUCGGAUGCAAGACAGCGGUGCGCUCUCUGCCUUUCGAUGCUUAUCGCUUUAUGUGUUGACCAUUUUGCCUACUUUUUUUUGUUGGUUUGAGUCUUCCGCUUGCUGGAAAGAAAAGUGUCACAGGGAACGAAGCAGAAGAGACCAAAAAACAGCCCAUCGAAAGAUGCUUAUUCACGGAGGUUUGACUUAUUACCUUCCCAGCUUUCCUGUUUGGUUAAUUGCCGUUCGGAUCUCUCCCUUUCUCUCUCGCUCUCUGCUCCGUUCCUCCUUCCACUGUCCAAAAGGGCUGCGUUAUCAUAAAAAAGACAUAAAAUUUGCUUUCAACAGGUGCAUUAGUCAUGGGUGUUUGCAGGUUGAUCAUAAAUAUUGGCCCCCGAGGGCGAGAUGAUCUCGCGCACGAUCGUCUUCGGAAGGCACCGGCAACCUCACCGUGGUGCGGACAGGUUUGACACAAUUAAAAUGAUUUAAACCAUGUUUUUUUUUGUUUCGUUCCUUUGGUUACGGAGCUGCUUCCUUUCCCGUUUUUUUGUUGGUUGUUAAAUAGACGCGAUAAUUGACUCUAAGAUGGUAAGGAGCUGCUAUAGUCAGCGGGCAGAGAUGGAGGAAAUUUUAAUUACAUUAGAAAAACACAUUUCCACGCUGUCGAUCGCUGAGAACGGAACGGCCGACGGGGAGUGGGGGGAUUAGCUUGUUUGGUUUUGGAAAAUUUCACUUUGCCCAUUUGCCCAUCUUGUUGGGCGAUAUUAUUCGAAUACACCUUCAUAAACAAUUCAUAAGAAUGGUGGUUUGGGAUGAGAAUUAAAGUUUAUUAAAUGAAAUAUGAAAUCGAUACGCGCGGCCGACGAGAGCAGCAAAAA